rnacentral:rRNA from 1 species
GUGGGGAAUCUUCCGCAAUGGACGAAAGUCUGACGGAGCAACGCCGCGUGAACGAUGACGGCCUUCGGGUUGUAAAGUUCUGUUAUACGGGACGAAUGGUACGACGGCCAAUACCCGUCGUAAGUGACGGUACCGUAAGAGAAAGCCACGGCUAACUACGUGCCAGCAGCCGCGGUAAUACGUAGGUGGCAAGCGUUGUCCGGAAUUAUUGGGCGUAAAGGGCGCGCAGGCGGCGUCGUAAGUCGGUCUUAAAAGUGCGGGGCUUAACCCCGUGAGGGGACCGAAACUGCGAUGCUAGAGUAUCGGAGAGGAAAGCGGAAUUCCUAGUGUAGCGGUGAAAUGCGUAGAUAUUAGGAGGAACACCAGUGGCGAAAGCGGCUUUCUGGACGGUGUCUGACACUGAGGCGCGAAAGCCAGGGGAGCGAACGGGAUUAGAAACCCCGGUAGUCC